CUGCCGCUGACAGCCUCUGGCCAAAGCCCUCGGCUCCCCCAGGGCCUGGACCACCGUCUCCCUUUGCCUGGGCCUGGCUGGCCCUCUCUGAGAGGACUAAGCACCUGCUGCGAGGAAGGACAGGGAUCCUCAGGAAGGGGGUCCUGGCCACUGUGGCUACUGUUUACCUGAAUCUCCUUCAUCUCAGCUCCUUCCUCCCUCCUCCCAGGUAACACCACACUGUGAAUACUACCUGCAGGGGACAGGACAGGAGGUGGUCUGUGUGCCACCACCCCAGGGUAAGGGAAGCUCCCUGUCACCUGCUGCUUCUGGGCUCAUAUUUCAGGGAAAUCAGGAAGUGGGGUUAUUGCUCAGCUUAUGCAUCUUAACUAUGAAAGGGGCGGGAAGAAUGUAGGGGGAAGGAAGGAAAGAACAUUAGGUGGGGCCUGAAAUGGUAAAGUCUACUGCAGUUUUUCAGAGAGGGUUGGACGACAGGCCCCCCUCUCCAUCAGGGCAGGAUGUGAGCCACAACCACUAGGCAGUGAGACAGUCACUGCACUCCUGGCCUCUGCAGCCACACAGAAACGAAGGACCCCCUGGGCACCAGGCUCUUUUUGAGGCUGCCUUGGAAACAGCCUUGAAUUUUUUUUUUUUUGUUUGAGACAGAGUUUCGAUCUUUUCAAUCUUGUAGCCCAGGCUGGAGUGCAGUGGCACGAUCUUGGCUCACCGCAACCUCCACCUCCUGAGUUCAAGCGAUUCUCCUGCCUCAGCCUCCCGAGUAGCUGGGGAGGGCCCUUGAAGUGAAGGCCCUGAGCCCUGAUUCCAACCUCUGCUCCCAGCACACUGCUGCUGGCCACAUGCUGCUGCCUGAACUUAGCUCAAGGCUCUCCAUCACUUCCUUUGGGGACCUGGGCACCAAACUGAGAAUCACUGGUCCACAUUUCUCUCAACCAUUAACAAAAGGGGGUAGAGAUGGGGGCAACAGGGACAAGAAUGCCACCUCCCAAUUGAGUGAGGAUGAAUUAUGGUAAUAUACGACCACUCCUCACCCAGUGCUUGGCACACAGAGGUGGUCAACACAUGUGUUUCUUGAAAUGUCACCUUAGGAUGGAGUUGCAGGCCUCCCUGAAUGCACCUGAUCAGGAGAAAUGCUCCUUAAGGGAAAUCAUCUUAACUGGGGGAUUCUCAGAUUCAAGGGCUCCUUCUUUUUUUUUUUUUUUCUCUGUCGCCCAGGCUGGAGUGCAUUGGCGCGAUCUCGGCUCACUGCAAGCUCCGCCUCCCGGGUUCAGGCCAUUCUCCUGCCUCAGCCUCCCAAGUAGCUGGGACUACAGGCGCCUGCAACCAUGCCCAGCUAAUUUUUUGUAUUUUUAGUAGAGACGGGGUUUCGCCGUGUUAGCCAGGAUGGUCUCGAUCUCCUGAUCUCAUGAUCCACCCGCCUCGGCCUCCCAAAGUGCUGGGAUUACAGGCGUGAGCCACCGCGCCCGGCCAAGAGCUCCUUCUUAACCGCACAGGCAUGUGAGGCCCAGAAGACUGGCUCUGCCACCAGAAGGAAGGAUUGUUUCCUUCAACCAACCUUUUGGUUGCUACCAUUUCUUGUCCUUGAGAAAGGUGCUCCUAGUGCUUGUAGAGGGAAACGCUACGUCCGUGCAGUAUGGCUCUCCCUUUCCACAGGAGCGAUCCUCCAGCCCUACCCCAAACUGCAGGUUUCCAAUUGGUUAUGAUGUGCCAGAGACCAGGAAAUGCCAGAGGGAUGUUUGUAACAAAGCUGCCAAACUCUAAGCCUUCUUGUUCUACCCCCUAAGGAGAAAAAAGAUGUGUAAGAAAUUAGCCCAUGGACCCCAGCUCCACCUGAACAUCAAUAUACCGUGAGGACAUUCCAGAGUCCCUGCAAAAGGUCUCGUGAGCUGCAGUUCAUUGAGUGGCUUUAGGUCACACGGAGAAAGGAGGGUUCCAGUUCCCUCUGAGAGGUGAGGGAUUGUGGUUACAGGUUGUAACAGCUGUCACAGGAGGGUAAAAAGUCUCCAGCAUCUUGCUGAGGAUGCCCAGUAGGCAGCAGCUGAGUGAGGAUGGAUGGAAUGCAGGGCAGGAGGGGAGCCCAAGUGCAGAGGCUGGGGCUCAGACAGCCAAAGGGCCCCACACACAGGGCCUCGUCUCAGAGUCCUCCAGGCUGCUGGAUGACAAGCGCCGGCGCUGGGCAUUCCGACUGACGGCAUUGUCAUCAGCCUGCCAGGCACCUGGGGAAGAGAAAAUGAACAUUACAGGAGCCAGACCUUUGGCCAAAUCCAGAUGGUGUCUCCAGCAGGGCAGCCCAGGAGCCGGCACGGAAGGAGCAGGAUGCGUGUCACCUGAGACUCCGAUGACGGUGCGAGCCACAGCACUCGUGUGUGAGAACGGAGAGAAGCAGGUGCUGACAGGUGCAGAGCCUGCUCCUGCCCCCUGGGCUAGGUACAGUCACUGCCACUGUGGCUCCCGGACAGGGAGGGACAUGAAAGAUGUUCCUUGUUUUGCGAACUUACCCUGGGAUCCACUUUUGUAUUUUAAUUACUUGGUUUUAAAGUUUGCC
ensembl:lncRNA RNF157-AS1 RNF157 antisense RNA 1